GGAUUGAGCCUUGGUAUGGAAAAUCCGUCMACUUUAGAAAUGGUUCAAGUCCCUCUAUC
rnacentral:tRNA from 1 species